CUGUUGUUGCAAAGCUGCUUACAACUUGGCUCGGGAGAAGAAAUUUUGACUGGAUUUUGCUACCAUGUCACAAGAAUCGAAGUCAAAAAGAGCCCGUUUGUCUGGGAACUCUCUCAAUGGAUGUCCUGGUGAUUUUUCCCGGGGAUCGGGAAGAUAGAAAUACAAGCCUGGUGCUGGGCCGACUGAAGUGUUGUGCUUUAAACAUUACAAUGCAAAGUAAGGAGGUGAUUCAUUGGCAUUGAAUGGAGGCAUGGCUGUGUUUCUCAGCCUGCUACUGGUAUACCUUCAGGGGAGUUGGCUUGGAUCCCUUUGGAAUGCCAACCAUAAAGAGACCAUCGGAUGAUGAUGGGAUGUAAGCUCCUGAAGGGUGCAACACUGGAAGAGACAAACCGUAAUCUUGACGAGAUAACAGACCUAGCUAUGGAACUAAUAGCAAAAACAGGUGUAAAACUUCUGUGGAAUAUCUGCAAUCUCUUUGCCAAUCCAAGGUUAUUAGGGAUUAAGAUUGUUGGCACAAGAAGGAUAUGUAAAAAAAAAAAAAAUAUGAACGCAAUUUUGUUUGCAAGCUGUUUUAUUUGCUCAUCGUUUUCGUUGGAAAAUAAAGUUAGGGUAAUGCAUUGUAUUAUUCUAAGGAUUGUACAAUUGUUAUGGAAGGAAACAUUCACACAGAUUCAAGGGAGCGAUCAUGCAAGCAUUAUGACAUCACAAGUUGAAACGAGUCCUCACUGUUGUCUGAAGACUGAGUAGUGCAUGUUUCCAUCGUUUGACCGCAGCUAUAGUGGCCGUUGCAAGGGGUCUAUUCCAUGCGAAUGUAACAACUCAUACAAAUUCAAUUUAACUUGUAGCCUUGCUCAAAGCAGUCGAAUUAUUCACUCCAAAAAAAAGACGACACGAUGCCCCCGUACACUAUCCGCAUGCGGAGGCCGUCAG